rnacentral:rRNA from 1 species
UACAGAGGGUGCGAACGUUGCUCGGAAUUACUGGGCGUAAAGCGCAUGUAGGCGGAUUCAUAAGUCGGGCGUGAAAUCCCCAGGCUCAACCUGGGAACUGCGCUCGAAACUGUGGGUCUUGAGUGUUGGAGAGGAUGGCGGAAUUCCUGGUGUAGAGGUGAAAUUCGUAGAUAUGGGGAGGAACACCGGUGGCGAAGGCGGCCACCUGGACGGUAACUGACGCUGAGACGCGAAAGCGUGGGGAGCAAACAGG